rnacentral:rRNA from 1 species
GACGAACGCUGGCGGCGUGCUUAACACAUGCAAGUCGAACGGAAAGGCCCUGCUUUUGUGGGGUGCUCGAGUGGCGAACGGGUGAGUAACACGUGAGUAACCUGCCCUUGACUUUGGGAUAACUUCAGGAAACUGGGGCUAAUACCGGAUAGGAGCUCCUGCUGCAUGGUGGGGGUUGGAAAGUUUCGGCGGUUGGGGAUGGACUCGCGGCUUAUCAGCUUGUUGGUGGGGUAGUGGCUUACCAAGGCUUUGACGGGUAGCCGGCCUGAGAGGGUGACCGGCCACAUUGGGACAGAGAUAAGGCCCAGACUCCUACGGGAGGCAGCAGUGGGGAAUAGUGCACAAUGGGCGGAAGCCUGAUGCAGCAACGCCGCGUGCGGGAUGACGGCCUUCGGGUUGUAAACCGCUUUCGCCUGUGACGAAGCGUGAGUGACGGUAAUGGGUAAAGAAGCACCGGCUAACUACGUG